UCAGGAAANUCUGGAGUAAAAGGCUAUGGNUCAACCAUAGUGUGCUCUGGAAACUGUNUGACUUGAGUGCAGAAGGGGAGAGUGGAAUUCCAUGUGUAGCGGUGAAAUGCGUAGAUAUAUGGAGGAACACCAGUGGCGAAAGCGGCUCUCUGGUCUGUCACUGACGCUGAGGCUCGAAAGCGUGGGUAGCGAACAGGAUUAGAUACCCUGGUAGUCCACGCCGUAAACGAUGAGUGCUAGGUGUUAGGCCCUUUCCGGGGCUUAGUGCCGGAGCUAACGCAAUAAGCACUCCGCCUGGGGAGUACGACCGCAAGGUUGAAACUCAAAGGAAUUGACGGGGGCCCGCACAAGCGGUGGAGCAUGUGGUUUAAUUCGAAGCAACGCGAAGAACCUUACCAGGUCUUGACAUCCCGAUGCUAUUCUUAGAGAUAGGAAGUUACUUCGGUACAUCGGAGACAGGUGGUGCAUGGUUGUCGUCAGCUCGUGUCGUGAGAUGUUGGGUUAAGUCCCGCAACGAGCGCAACCCUUAUUGUUAGUUGCCAUCAUUAAGUUGGGCACUCUAGCGAGACUGCCGGUAAUAAACCGGAGGAAGGUGGGGAUGACGUCAAAUCAUCAUGCCCCUUAUGACCUGGGCUACACACGUGCUACAAUGGUCGGUACAACGAGUUGCGAGCCGGUGACGGCAAGCUAAUCUCUGAAAGCCGAUCUCAGUUCGGAUUGGAGGCUGCAACUCGCCUCCAUGAAGUCGGAAUCGCUAGUAAUCGCGGAUCAGCACGCCGCGGUGAAUACGUUCCCGGGCCUUGUACACACCGCCCGUCACACCACGAGAGUUUGUAACACCCGAAGUCGGUGAGGUANCCUUUUAGGGGCCAG
rnacentral:rRNA from 1 species